GAUGAACGCUGGCGGCGUGCCUAAUACAUGCAAGUCGAGCGAACAGACGAGGAGCUUGCUCCUCUGACGUUAGCGGCGGACGGGUGAGUAAAACGGGGAUAACCUACCUAUAAGACUGGGAUAAAUUCGGGAAACCGGAGCUAAUACCGGGUAAAUUUUUGAACCGCAUGGUUCAAUAGUGAAAGACGGUUUUGCUGUCACUUAUAGAAGGAUCCGGGCCGCAUUAGCUAGUUGGGAAGGUAACGGCUUACCAAGGCAACGAUGCGUAGCCGACCUGAGAGGGUGAUCGGCCACACUGGAACUGAGACACGGUCCAGACUCCUACGGGAGGCAGCAGUAGGGAAUCUUCCGCAAUGGGCGAAAGCCUGACGGAGCAACGCCGCGUGAGUGAUGAAGGUCUUCGGAUCGUAAAACUCUGUUAUUAGGGAAGAACAAAUGUGUAAGUAACUAUGCACGUCUUGACGGUACCUAAUCAGAAAGCCACGGCUAACUACGU
rnacentral:rRNA from 1 species